CCUACGGGAUGCAGCAGUGAGGAAUAUUGGUCAAUGGGCGCGAGCCUGAAACAGCCAAGUCGCGUGAGGGAGGACGGCCCUACGGGUUGUAAACCUCUUUUGCCGGGGAGCAACGGGCGUCACGUGUGCCUCCCCUUAUAGUCUCCGUAGACAAAGCUUCGGCUACCUCCGUGCCAGCAGCCGCGGUAAUCCGGGGGUUGCGAGGGUUACCCGGGUUUCUUGGGUUAAAAGGGUGCUUAGGCGGAUCGUUAAGUCAGUGUUAAAAUUUUGGGGCUAAACCCAUGCUCGCAAUUGACACUGGCGCUCUUGAGUGGAAGAGAAGCAGGCGGAAUGCGUGGUGUAGCGGUGAAAUGCAGAGAUAUCACGCAGAACCCCGAUUGCGAAGGCAGCAUGCCGGAUUCCGACUGACGCUGAAGCACGAAAGCGUGGGGAUCGAACAGGAUUAGAUACCCGAGUAGUC
rnacentral:rRNA from 1 species